CUGUUUAGCAAAAACAUGUCUGUAUGAGAGUUAUAUAAAGUCUGGCCUGCCCAUUGGGGUACUGAAAGGCCGCGGUAUUGUGACCGUGCGAAGGUAGCAUAAUCAUUAGUCUUUUAAUUGGAGGCUGGUAUGAAUGGUCGGACGAGAAGUAAGCUGUCUUUAUCUCAUAGAUUGAAUUUAACUUUUAAGUGAAAAGGCUUAAAUGGGUUAGAGGGACGAUAAGACCCUAUAAAGUUUAUACAUGGAGUUAAUCAAGAGUGAUUUGGAAUAGUAAAGUUCAUUAUUAGCAAGAUGUUUAGUUGGGGUGACUAGAAUAUAAGUUAUAUAACUGUUUUUUGUUUUAAUCAGAGAUAUCUGUUUAUAUGGUCCCUUUUUAGGAUUAGAGAGUAAAUUACUUUAGGGAUAACAGCGUAAUUUUUUUUAAGAGUUCUUAUCGACAAAAGAGUUUGCGACCUCGAUGUUGAAUUAAAAAUUUCUUUGUGGCGUAGCAGUUACAAGAGAAGGUCUGUUCGACCUUUAAAUUUUUACAUGAUUUGAGUUCAGACCGGCGUGAGCCA
rnacentral:rRNA from 1 species